UACGUAGGGUGCGAGCGUUAAUCGGAAUUACUGGGCGUAAAGCGUGCGCAGGCGGUUUUGUAAGACAGAUGGGAAAUCCCCGGGCUCAACCUGGGAACUGCGUUUGUGACUGCAAGACUCGAGUGCGGCAGAGGGGGGUGGAAUUCCACGUGUAGCAGUGAAAUGCGUAGAGAUGCGGAGGAACACCGAUGGCGAAGGCAGCCCCCUGGGCCAAUACUGACGCUCAGGCACGAAAGCGUGGGGAGCAAACAGG
rnacentral:rRNA from 1 species